GCAUGACAUUGUGAAUUUGAACAGUGGAAUUUUUUGUUGAGCGAUGCCAUCUACUCUUGGUGAAUCUUCUGAUGUUUUAUUAGAGGACAUUUUUAUUCCCCACCUACAAUAGUAGAGGGGCAUUAUGUUUUCUGGUCUGUGUGUCCAUUCGUUCAUCCUUCUGUCCCACUUCAGGUUAAAGUUUUUGGUCAAGGUAGUUUUUGAUGAAGUUGAAGUCCAAUUAACUUGAAACUUAGUACACAUGUUCCUUAUGAUAUAAUCUUUCUAAAUUUAAAAUUAGAGUGUUUACCCCAAUUUCAUGGUCCACUGAACAUAGAAAAUAAUAGUGCAGGUGGGGCAUCUGUAUACUGGGGACACAUUCUUGUUAUAGCUGUUAAAUAACAAGGUGACAUUCUAAACCCGCCAGGAGUUCAUUAAUUUAGAAAAUGAUUUUCAAGAGUCUUCUUUUAAUUCAGCAUCACUGUUGUUGUGCAACCAUUCACUGGUGUUAAUUAGCCUUUUAAUAAUUGGUAUUACAUGUAGUAUUGGUUUCAUGUCUACAUUGAUGGGUAGAUUAUACCAGGAGAAUAUGGUUAAGAUUGAAAGUGAGACGCAUUGCAUUUUUGUAUUUUAAAAAAUGAAAUCAAAGUAGAAAUUUUCCAACUGGUUACAUGAAUGAUUUGAUUCUGAAACAUUUCAAAGGAAAAUUUGGCAUAAAAUGUUUUUAAAAACACAAAACAUACUUAAUUUCAUAUCAGGCUUAUCCAAAAUCUUUCUGAUUCUUUUAAGCAGUAGUUCUUUGCAGAUGUUUAUAUUAGCUUUGUGACUAUUAGAAAUUGUUACAGUAGAUUUGAGCAUGGAAGAGCAUUGGUGAAGUGGGGGCA
rnacentral:lncRNA from 1 species